rnacentral:lncRNA from 1 species
ACUCUCUCUCUCUCUCUCUCUCUCUCUCUCUGCCAUGUGAGAGGCAGCCAUCUGCAAGCCAGGAUCUCACUAGAAUCCGACCAUGCUAGCACCCAGAUCUUGGACUUCCAGCCUCCAGAACUGUGAGAAAAUGCAGUCCUGUUUUUCAAGCCACCUGGACCAUAACAGACGAGUAUAGGUCUACAUAUAUCAACUGGUUUGAGAUGUUUAUCCAUAUUAAUCAGAUCUACAUUCUGCUUACUUGUAUGUGCUUUAUUUUCAACUUCUGAGCUUGACCAGAAAGAAGAAUGACCACAUCAAAGCCUGUAGCUCUCCUGCAUGGUGGCAAAAAUUUGAACUUGGUGUUUGAAGAACAUGAUAAAAGAGGGGGAGGAGAAGAAUAGCCACAGAUCUUCUGGUCAUUAACUGCAUUAUGUCAGGCUGGUCACUGAAGCCACGUAAUCCUUAUUUUCCUAACGUGUCACUUGAGAAUGUAGAAUUAGAUAUUCAUUGAAUUCCCUUCAAGUUUCAUAGUCAAUGAUUCUAAUUAAAUGUAUGAUAUUUGGGGGUAAAUAUAAAUAGCAUGGUAGGUGAGGCCUACCUUUACU